rnacentral:rRNA from 1 species
CCUACGGGGGGCUGCAGUGGGGAAUAUUGGACAAUGGGGGGAAUCCUGAUCCAGCCAUGCCGCGUGUGUGAAGAAGGCCCUCGGGUUGUAAAGCACUUUCAGUGAGGAAGAACGCCUGGUGGUUAAUACCCAUCAGGAAAGACAUCACUCACAGAAGAAGCACCGGCUAACUCCGUGCCAGCAGCCGCGGUAAUACGGAGGGUGCGAGCGUUAAUCGGAAUUACUGGGCGUAAAGCGCGCGUAGGUGGCUUGAUAAGCCGGUUGUGAAAGCCCCGGGCUCAACCUGGGAACGGCAUCCGGAACUGUCAAGCUAGAGUGCAGGAGAGGAAGGUAGAAUUCCCGGUGUAGCGGUGAAAUGCGUAGAGAUCGGGAGGAAUACCAGUGGCGAAGGCGGCCUUCUGGACUGACACUGACACUGAGGUGCGAAAGCGUGGGUAGCAAACAGGAUUAGAUACCCCUGUAGUC